rnacentral:rRNA from 1 species
GAUGAACGCUGGCGGCGUGCCUAAUACAUGCAAGUCGAGCGAACAGACGAGGAGCUUGCUCCUCUGACGUUAGCGGCGGACGGGUGAGUAACACGUGGAUAACCUACCUAUAAGACUGGGAUAACUUCGGGAAACCGGAGCUAAUACCGGAUAAUAUAUUGAUCCGCAUGGUUCAAUAGUGAAAGACGGUUUUGCUGUCACUUAUAGAUGGAUCCGCGCCGCAUUAGCUAGUUGGUAAGGUAACGGCUUACCAAGGCAACGAUGCGUAGCCGACCUGAGAGGGUGAUCGGCCACACUGGAACUGAGACACGGUCCAGACUCCUACGGGAGGCAGCAGUAGGGAAUCUUCCGCAAUGGGCGAAAGCCUGACGGGGCAACGCCGCGUGAGUGAUGAAGGUCUUCGGAUCGUAAAACUCUGUUAUUAGGGAAGAACAAAUGUGUAAGUAACUAUGCACGUCUUGACGGUACCUAAUCAGAAAGCCACGGCUAACUACGUG